UAGGGAAUCUUCGGCAAUGGACGAAAGUCUGACCGAGCAACGCCGCGUGAGUGAAGAAGGUUUUCGGAUCGUAAAACUCUGUUGUUGGAGAAGAACAAGGAUGAGAGUAACUGUUCAUCCCUUGACGGUAUCUAACCAGAAAGCCACGGCUAACUACGUGCCAGCAGCCGCGGUAAUACGUAGGUGGCAAGCGUUGUCCGGAUUUAUUGGGCGUAAAGCGAGCGCAGGCGGUUUCUUAAGUCUGAUGUGAAAGCCCCCGGCUCAACCGGGGAGGGUCAUUGGAAACUGGGAGACUUGAGUGCAGAAGAGGAGAGUGGAAUUCCAUGUGUAGCGGUGAAAUGCGUAGAUAUAUGGAGGAACACCAGUGGCGAAGGCGGCUCUCUGGUCUGUAACUGACGCUGAGGCUCGAAAGCGUGGGGAGCAAACAGGAUUAGAUACCCUGGUAGUCCACGCCGUAAACGAUGAGUGCUAAGUGUUGGAGGGUUU
rnacentral:rRNA from 1 species